GACGAACGCUGGCGGCGUGCUUAACACAUGCAAGUCGAACGGAAAGGCCUGCUUUCCCUUGUGGAUUGCGGGUACUCGAGUGGCGAACGGGUGAGUAACACGUGAGUGAUCUGCCCCCAACUUGGGUAUAAGCCUGGGAAACUGGGUCUAAUUCCCGAUAGGACUGCAGGGUGGUGCCUGUGGUGGAAAACGAUUUUCUAGUGGUUGGGGAUGAGCUCGCGGCCUAUCAGCUUGUUGGUGGGGUAAUGGCCUACCAAGGCGGCGACGGGUAGCCGGCCUGAGAGGGUGGACGGCCGCAUUGGGACUGAGAUACGGCCCAGACUCCUACGGGAGGCAGCAGUGGGGAAUAUUGCGCCAUGGGCGGAAGCCUGAUGCAGCGACGCCGCGUGGGGGAUGACGGCCUUCGGGUUGUAAACUCCUUUCGACCGCGAGGAAGCCACCUGGUUGGAAGGGUGGUGACGGUAGUGGUAGAAGAAGCACCGGCUAACUACGUG
rnacentral:rRNA from 1 species